rnacentral:tRNA from 1 species
GGAGUUGUGGCUCAGCGGUAGAGUGCUUACCUCGCACGAGCAGGGCCCUGGGUUUGAUCCUCAGCACUACA